rnacentral:rRNA from 1 species
UGGGGAAUAUUGGACAAUGGACCACAAGUCUGAUCCAGCAAUUCUGUGUGCACGAUGACGUUUUUCGGAAUGUAAAGUGCUUUCAGUCGGGAAGAAGUCAGUGACGGUACCGACAGAAGAAGCGACGGCUAAAUACGUGCCAGCAGCCGCGGUAAUACGUAUGUCGCAAGCGUUAUCCGGAUUUAUUGGGCGUAAAGCGCGUCUAGGCGGCAAGGAAAGUCUGAUGUGAAAAUGCGGAGCUCAACUCCGUAUGGCGUUGGAAACUGCCUUACUAGAGUACUGGAGAGGUAGGCGGAACUACAAGUGUAGAGGUGAAAUUCGUAGAUAUUUGUAGGAAUGCCGAUGGGGAAGCCAGCCUACUGGACAGAUACUGACGCUAAAGCGCGAAAGCGUGGGUAGCAAACAGGAUUAGAUACCCUGGUAGUCCACGCUGUAAACGAUGAUUACUAGGUGUUGGGGGUCAAACCUCAGCGCCCAAGCUAACGCGAUAAGUAAUCCGCCUGGGGAGUACGUACGCAAGUAU